rnacentral:rRNA from 1 species
UACAGAGGGUGCAAGCGUUGUUCGGAAUUACUGGGCGUAAAGCGCGCGUAGGCGGCUUUGCAAGUCGAGUGUGAAAUCCCCAGGCUUAACCUGGGAACUGCAUUCGAGACUACAUAGCUAGAGUAUGGGAGAGGGAAGUGGAAUUUCAGGUGUAGCGGUGAAAUGCGUAGAUAUCUGAAGGAACAUCAGUGGCGAAAGCGACUUCCUGGACCAAUACUGACGCUCAUGUGCGAAAGCGUGGGGAGCAAACAGG